rnacentral:rRNA from 1 species
UGGUUAAGCAAUGAAGGGCGCACGGUGAAUGCCUUGGCACUAGGAGCCGAUGAAGGACGGAACGAACACCGAAAUGCUUUGGGGAGCUGUAAGUAAGCUGUGAUCCAGAGAUAUCCGAAUGGGGAAACCCGGCAUCCAAUGGAUGUCACUUCUAUUAUUAGAAGAGGUAGACGCAGUGAAUUGAAACAUCUUAGUAACUGCAGGAAGAGAAAGAAAGAUCGAUUCCCUCAGUAGCGGCGAGCGAACGGGGAAGAGCCCAAACCAUGGUGCAUGCAUCAUGGGGUUGUAGGACUCAAAUGUGGACGAUUGAAUGUUAGUCGAAUGACUUGGAACAGUCAGGUAGAAAAGGUGAAACCCCUGUAGGCGAAAACAUCCAAUUACCUAUGAGUAUCCUGAGUACGGCGAGACACGUGAAAUCUCGUCGGAAUCUGCCAGGACCAUCUGGCAAGGCUAAAUACUCCCUAGUGACCGAUAGUGAACCAGUACCGUGAGGGAAAGGUGAAAAGCACCCCGGGAGGGGAGUGAAAGAGUCCCUGAAACCGUGUGCCUACAAGUAGUCAGAGCCCGUUAAUGGGUGAUGGCGUACCUUUUGCAGAAUGGACCGGCGAGUUACGAUAGUUGGCGAGGUUAAGUUGAAGAAACGGAGCCGUAGCGAAAGCGAGUCUUCAUAGGGCGAAAGUCAGGUGUCGUAGACCCGAAACCAGGUGAGCUACCCAUGUGCAGGUUGAAGGUGCGGUAAGACGCACUGGAGGACCGAACCCAAAUACGUUGAAAAGUGUUGGGAUGACGUGUGGGUAGGGGUGAAAUUCCAAUCGAACCUGGAGAUAGCUGGUUCUCUCCGAAAUAGCUUUAGGGCUAGCCUCAAUGUAAGAAUCGUGGGGGUAGAGCACUAUUAGGAUGCGGGGGGCUCACGCCCUACCAAUUCCUGAUAAACUCCGAAUACCAUUGAUUCAUCAUUGGGAGUCAGACUGCGAGUGCUAAGAUCCGUAGUCGAAAGGGAAACAGCCCAGACCACCAGCUAAGGUCCCCAAGUUACUGUUAAGUGGGAAAGGAUGUGGAGUUGCACAGACAACUAGGAUGUUGGCUUAGAAGCAGCCACCAUUGAAAGAGUGCGUAAUAGCUCACUAGUCGAGUGACUCUGCGCCGAAAAUGUACCGGGGCUAAACAGUACACCGAAGCUGUGGAUUCUAACAAUUGUUAGAGUGGUAGGAGAGCGUUCUAUGGGCAUUGAAGCUGUACCGUAAGGAGCAGUGGAGCGCAUAGAAGUGAGAAUGCCGGUAUGAGUAGCGCAAGACGGGUGAGAAUCCCGUCCACCGAUUGACUAAGGUUUCCUGGGGAAGGCUCGUCCGCCCAGGGUUAGUCGGGACCUAAGUUGAAGCCGACAGGUUUAGACGAUGGCUAACAGGUAGAGAUUCCUGUACUCGGUAUACACGUUUGAGCGAAGGAGGGACACAGGAGGUAGUGUCACGCAUCCUGUUGGAUAUGGAUGUAGAAGCGUCAAGCCUAAGAAAGAGUCAAAUGCUUUUUCUUAUUAAAGGUAAGACGUGACCUGGAGUGAAUUAAAGUAGCGAAGGUGACGAAUCAUACUGUCAAGAAAAGCUUCUAGUGAGUGUAUACGGACCCGUACCGCAAACCGACACAGGUAGUCAGGUAGAGUAUACCAAGGUGAGCGAGAGAACUCUCGUUAAGGAACUCGGCAAAAUGACCCCGUAACUUCGGGAGAAGGGGUGCUGACUUUAAGUCAGCCGCAGUGAAUAGGCCCAGGCGACUGUUUAUCAAAAACACAGGUCUCUGCUAAAUCGAAAGAUGAUGUAUAGGGGCUGACGCCUGCCCGGUGCUGGAAGGUUAAGUGGAGUGCUUAGCGUUAAGCGAAGGUACGAAAUGAAGCCCCAGUAAACGGCGGCCGUAACUAUAACGGUCCUAAGGUAGCGAAAUUCCUUGUCGGGUAAGUUCCGACCCGCACGAAAGGCGUAACGAUCUGGGCACUGUCUCAACGAGAGACUCGGUGAAAUUAUAUUACCUGUGAAGAUGCAGGUUACCCGCGACAGGACGGUAAGACCCCGUGGAGCUUUACUGUAGCUUGAUAUUGAGUGUUUGUGUCACACGUACAGGAUAGGUAGGAGCCUAAGAGAUGUGGUCGCUAGACUACAUGGAGGCGUUGGUGGGAUACUACCCUUGUGACAUGACCCCUCUAACCCGCGUAUGAGAAUACGGGAGACAGUGUCAGGCGGGCAGUUUGACUGGGGCGGUCGCCUCCCAAACAGUAACGGAGGCGCCCAAAGGUUCCCUCAGAAUGGUUGGAAAUCAUUCGUAGAGUGUAAAGGCACAAGGGAGCUUGACUGUGAGACCAACAAGUCGAGCAGGGACGAAAGUCGGGCUUAGUGAUCCGGUGGUUCCGCAUGGAAGGGCCAUCGCUCAACGGAUAAAAGCUACCCCGGGGAUAACAGGCUUAUCUCCCCCAAGAGUUCACAUCGACGGGGAGGUUUGGCACCUCGAUGUCGGCUCAUCGCAUCCUGGGGCUGAAGUCGGUCCCAAGGGUUGGGCUGUUCGCCCAUUAAAGCGGUACGCGAGCUGGGUUCAGAACGUCGUGAGACAGUUCGGUCCCUAUCCGUCGCGGGCGUAGGAAAUUUGAGAAGAGCUAUCCUUAGUACGAGAGGACCGGGAUGGACACACCGCUGGUGUACCAGUUGUUCCGCCAGGAGCAUCGCUGGGUAGCUAUGUGUGGGAUGGAUAAGCGCUGAAAGCAUCUAAGUGCGAAGCCAGCUUCAAGAUGAGAUUUCCCAUCUAUUUAGAGUAAGACCCCUGAGAGACGAUCAGGUAGAUAGGCUAGAAGUGGAAGUAUGGUGACAUACGUAGCGGACUAGUACUAAUCGGUCGAGGACUUAACCACA